AUUGAACGCUGGCGGCAGGCCUAACACAUGCAAGUCGAGCGGAGCGGCGGACGGGUGAGUAAUGCCUAGGAAUCUGCCUGGUAGUGGGGGAUAACGUCCGGAAACGGGCGCUAAUACCGCAUAUAAUAGGAUGAGCUUAGGUCGGAUUAGUUAGUGGGUGGGGUAAAGGCCUACCAAGGCGACGAUCCGUAACUGGUCUGAGAGGAUGAUCAGUCACACUGGAACUGAGACACGGUCAAGACUCCUACGGGAGGCAGCAGUGGGGAAUAUUGGACAAUGGGCGAAAGCCUGAUCCAGCCAUGCCGCGUGUGUGAAGAAGGUCUUCGGAUUGUAAAGCACUUUAAGUUGGGAGGCGUUACCAACAGAAUAAGCACCGGCUAACUUCGUGCCAGCAGCCGCGGUAAUAC
rnacentral:rRNA from 1 species